UGGCGGCGUGCUUAACACAUGCAAGUCGAACGAUGAAGCCCAGCUUGCUGGGUGGAAGAGUGGCGAACGGGUGAGUAACACGUGAGUAACCUGCCCUGAACUCUGGGAUAAGCACUGGAAACGGUGUCUAAUACUGGAUACGACCUAUCACCGCAUGGUGUGUGGGUGGAAAGAUUUAUCGGUUCUGGAUGGACUCGCGGCCUAUCAGCUAGAUGGUGAGGUAAUGGCUCACCAUGGCGACGACGGGUAGCCGGCCUGAGAGGGUGACCGGCCACACGGGACUGAGACACGGCCCAGACUCCUACGGGAGGCAGCAGUGGGGAAUAUUGCACAAUGGGCGCAAGCCUGAUGCAGCAACGCCGCGUGAGGGAUGACGGCCUUCGGGUUGUAAACCUCUUUUAGAGGGAAGAAGCGAAAGUGACGGUACCUGCAGAAAAAGCACCGGCUAACUACGUGCCAGCAGCCGCGGUAAUACGUAGGGUGCAAGCGUUGUCCGGAAUUAUUGGGCGUAAAGAGCUCGUAGGCGGCUUGUCGCGUCUGCUGUGAAAACCCGGGGCUCAACCCCGGGCCUGCAGUGGGUACGGGCAGGCUAGAGUGCGGUAGGGGAGAUUGGAAU
rnacentral:rRNA from 1 species